rnacentral:tRNA from 2 species
CAGAAAGUAGUUUAUUUAAAAAUACCAGCUUUGGGAGCUGGAGAAGGGGGUUCGAUUCCUCUUUUUCUGA